GACGAACGCUGGCGGCGUGCUUAACACAUGCAAGUCGAACGGAAAGGCCCUGCUUUUGUGGGGUGCUCGAGUGGCGAACGGGUGAGUAACACGUGAGUAACCUGCCCUUGACUUUGGGAUAACUUCAGGAAACUGGGGCUAAUAACGGAUAGGAGCUCCUGCUGCAUGGUGGGGGUUGGAAAGUUUCGGCGGUUGGGGAUGGACUCGCGGCUUAUCAGCUUGUUGGUGGGGUAGUGGCUUACCAAGGCUUUGACGGGUAGCCGGCCUGAGAGGGUGACCGGCCACAUUGGGACUGAGAUACGGCCCAGACUCCUACGGGAGGCAGCAGUGGGGAAUAUUGCACAAUGGGAGGAAGCCUGAUGCAGCAACGCCGCGUGCGGGAUGACGGCCUUCGGGUUGUAAACCGCUUUCGCCUGUGACGAAGCGUGAGUGACGGUAAUGGGUAAAGAAGCACCGGCUAACUACGUG
rnacentral:rRNA from 1 species